rnacentral:sRNA from 1 species
CAUUUUAGCAAGAGAAAUAUAGCUGCGUUUGACGGUUGGGACACUGAAAACAAUGAAGAGCAAACUGAAGAGUUGCAAUGGAUUAGUCUGUGAACUGAAACUUGGAGCCAGUGAAUUACCUUACGCUGCCUGAAAGCAUCUGCACCAAGAAGUGUCAGUCUUUGCAGUAAGCUUGUCGCUGAACAAGCUCCUGCCCAACUUGCUUAACAUCUUCUUUUGUUUUGAAAUAUUGAUCCACUAGUGAACCAGCUACCUUGCUUGCUCGAGGAAGGAGCUAGAGCUACUGCCAAACUCGUGUAUUAUGAGAGCAUUUUGGGAGAUUAAGCUUUUUUUUUUGUUAAUUUGUGAUGCUGCUCCUGUUAUUUUGCAUAUCCUGCGGGAUCGUAUCGCAUGACUAUCUAUGCUUGUGCUG